rnacentral:lncRNA from 1 species
CUCUGAUUAACUGAGUGUUACUGAGAAAACUCCUUUUGUCUUCACCUGGGCGGUCACACAUCUUUGUAAAAUAGAGUAUAAUCCAUUUUCCUGCCUUAGCAAGUAGGGCUAGAGACAAAAUAGGCUAUCUGUCUCUUUGAUGACUCAGUGCUCCUCUCCAAAUACUGCACAGUCCUGCGAAGAGAAACUGCAGGGGAUUCUGGGCCAAGUGUACCCUGGCCGUGAAGAUGGAUUCCAGGGUAAAACCUACACCCACCUGUUAGCCCAUCGUUUUCCUCUGUCUUGAGAAAAUUGAGAAUCAAGAGUUGGAGGAUGAAGAGUGAUGGCCGAAGAUACUCUCCUGUCUCUGAGACCCUGAGGUCCCCUACAACGCCUAGGACGUGAGCAUGAGCAAAUGCAGAUGUUUCCCCACGAACAAGGGUCCGGUAAACUCUGAGGACACCUUGAAUACUGACGGGUCAACGCCUCUUCAAAGAAGAACAGGCUCGGGAGUAGAGCCUCAUCCUUGCCAGCCUGUUCUUCCCACUGCCUCCUCCCCAGCGCUCAGACCUGGGCACUACACUCCACGGCCCUCAUGUCACACCUCUCGCUCGACAUGAAGGAGAAGUGCACCAGGAGGGACUUGGCAAAGUGCUGCGGGUGUGAGAAUCCACAGGGUGACCACGGCAAGUCCUCAUGUUGCUCGGUAAGAAGUGAUUGCAAAUACUAUUUUUAGAUGGAGAGAAAUGGAUAAAUGACACCAUAAAACCCAAAUUGGCAAACAUUUUAAAAAUGAAACUAAGACUUCCAGGACAUUCAUUCAUCCACUGUUUUGCAGCAGGGACUUCUAAGACUGCUAACGGCAUGGCUUUACUCAUCCCCCUGCUGUCGGCGGUACAGCUAUGGGCAAAGUCACAGAGGAGCUGCCUUCGUCUUGGUAAUAGCAGUGGCUUGAGAUGAAGCUGACGCCUUCAGCAUGGUAAUCAAAGCCUUCCUCAGUCUAGCCCUGCCCCACGGUUG